UACGGAGGGAGCUAGCGUUGUUCGGAAUUACUGGGCGUAAAGCGCACGUAGGCGGCUUUGUAAGUUAGAGGUGAAAGCCUGGGGCUCAACCCCAGAAUUGCCUUUAAGACUGCAUCGCUUGAAUCCAGGAGAGGUGAGUGGAAUUCCGAGUGUAGAGGUGAAAUUCGUAGAUAUUCGGAAGAACACCAGUGGCGAAGGCGGCUCUCUGGACCGUAACUGACGCUGAGGCGCGAAAGCGUGGGGAGCAAACAGG
rnacentral:rRNA from 1 species